AACAUGAUGAGAAAUCUGCACACAUGACUAUUUAACAACUUGAAAUUCCACACAAGAAAAAUUACAACACACACGAAAAGCAUGCAGACAUCAGGCCAAGGCCCCAUGCCCAAAGUCAUGAGAAGUCCAUGGACCCAACCUGCUGAACCAGUCCUCUAAGAAACAAACAUGAGGGUUGAUGUGAGAGCCCCAACACCCCCCGCCCCACAAAAGGCUAUUUCUACAGUUGGCUGGGGACACCUCUGCAAGCCAGGCUGCGGACUGUGAACCCAACGGCUGCCAUACUGUCAGCAGAGCUGAGGGCUUAGACAGGAUGACCACUUGGCCUCACUCAGCCAGAGCCACAGGGGGAAGCCAGGAGAGGAACCCCUAAGGCACUGGCAUCUGGGGAAGCUACAACAGUGCCCAACCAGCCUGUCCCUGGAUCAUCUGUACCUGACCCUAUACUGUUUACUCCCAAGCACAGUCUCCCUAUGCUGCAUGCAUCCACUUAUUCUUAUUCCCAACCCCAAGCCUCCUAAACCUGUCCAAUUCUCUCCAUUGGAGAGAACCACUCCUCUGAUCCCAACCACCAGCCUGGAGGCCCACAAUACUCAGCCUCCCUUCCUUGCCCGCUCCUGCGCUUCCUUUC